rnacentral:tRNA from 1 species
ACUUAAGUAGCUUAAAUAGAGUAUAGCAGUGAAGAUGCUAGGGUAAUGUAAUAUUCUUAAGUA